GGCAUCUCACUGGAUUGCGAAAACUUUUUGAACUUGGAGAAGUUUCCUGCCUGAAUCAUGUUUGUUGAAAUCAGCUUUUUGGAUGGACGGAGCGUAGGCUGUCUGUCUGGAGAGACGUGGAGUAGUGGAGACCCCGCUGACUGGCUUGGGACAGGAUGACUGGGGGGCGGGGGAGGAGUGCGUGCGUGUACUCUGAGGCCCUCCCCUUCCCGGCCUCUCUACCCCGCAAAUGGACAAGAGUAGAGACUGCGUUUGUCCUACCCUGAAAUAGAGACCCUAACCAGCUUU